GGGCGGGCGCUGCGCGGAGCCGCCGCUGGAGUGCGCGGAGCGGGGCUGCCGCCGCGCCGGGGGCGAGGAGCGCACGCCGCGCCGGCGGGGGACAGCGCGCCACGGGAGCAGCCUUCCCCGGGCACCGGGACCUGCUCGGUGAACAGAGAGAGGGAGAGACAGUAACCGAGAGGACAGAAGGAAAACGCUCUGUUCGUCCUUUCCGCCACCACCACCCCGAUUUGCGGAGAGGGGUCGGGCCGAGCGGCGGCGGAAUCAGCCCCUUUCUCCCGGGGAGGCGACCCCCGGCUCGGGGAGCCGCCGGAGGCAGCCGCCGCGAAGAGGGAGCGCAGGAAAAGAGAUGCAUUGAAAGUUUCCGCGCAAACUUUGCCGUGAGUGCGCGAAUCCGAGCGAGCGCGGCGCGGGUGCCUGCCUGCCCCGACGCGGGGAGAGCGCCGCGGACGGGCGCCGCUGUGGAGCUCGGACUGCCCGGCGGCGGGGGCCGGGCGGCGGCAGGGCGGCCGCGGAGCCUGCGCUCGGCCCGGCGGAGCGCCCACGGAAAGCAGCAGCGGGGGCCGGCGGAGAGCCGGGCUUAUGGAGGGGUGAAACCGGAGACCCCGAAGAGGAACCCCCCUUACCCCGCAACCCUUCGCAGCGCCCGGCCGGCGGCACCCCAGGAGGCGGCGGCGGGCACGGAGGAGGCGCGGGCGAGAGCGCGGCGGGGCGGCGGCGGCAGCGGGGCGGCGGCGGCGAGGCGGAGCACGGCGGGCCCCGCUUCGCGGCGUGCGCCGGCAACCAUGAACUUUCUGCUCACUUGGAUCCGCUGGGGGCUGGCGGCGCUGCUCUAUCUGCAGAGCGCGGAGUUGUCGAAGGCUGCGCCUGCCCUGGGGGAUGGGGAGCGGAAACCCAAUGAAGUUAUCAAAUUCCUGGAAGUCUACGAGCGCAGCUUCUGCAGGACUAUUGAGACCCUGGUGGACAUUUUCCAGGAGUACCCUGAUGAGGUGGAGUACAUAUUCAAGCCAUCCUGUGUGCCUCUGAUGAGAUGUGCGGGUUGCUGCGGCGAUGAGGGCCUAGAAUGUGUCCCUGUGGAUGUGUACAACGUCACAAUGGAGAUCAUGAGAAUUAAACCCCAUCAGAGUCAGCACAUAUCACACAUGAGCUUCUUACAGCACAGUAAAUGUGACUGCAGACCAAAGAAAGAUGUCAAAAACAAACAAGAAAAUACUCAGAAUAGAGGCUGCCAGAGGAGAUGUUACAGACAUCCAAGUAAGAUCUCCUGUAGUCCUCUGAACCACAGGCAGGAGGUGAGGUGGAUGAGCAUAGCCUUCAGGUUGGAUAGCUCUCCCCGAGAUCAGAUCUCUUCCUUUGUCUGUGGAGUGCUCCCAUCCCAAGGCAAGAUUGCCCCCCACCCUGCAGCAGAGCUAUUGGAGCUCAGCUGCCCCCUCCUAGGCCCAGUGCUGGGCAGUGCAUCAGGCCAGAGUGGUUUCCUCUUCCCUGAAGAGAGCUCUUUCACUCAGGUUGCCUUUGGUCAGUUGUUGUGCACCUGUGCUUGUCGCCUGAAAUGGUUGUCUGCACUCACCGCGGUGGCGUGAUGCUUUCACAAAGCCUUCUGUUCCUUCUCCCUCUCACCCCCUGCCCCUUUCCCACUGCCCCUCUCUCGAGGGAGCAGGUGCCUCUCUGAGGCAGAUCCGCCUCUGCUCGCAGCAGCCUUGCAGGAGGUGGUCUCUGCUGAGCUCCCUGGUGUUGGCUUGGCUGUGGGCAGGCUGGUUGCGGAGCUGACAGGAGCGCCGGAGCCGGUGAAUGUGCGUGCGAGGUGGAGAUCUGUGCUUCAGCCCUGGGAUUUACCCUCCAGUCCUGCCUAAUGUGCUUCUCCCCUCCCAGCAAGGCACAUGGCUGUAUUUUUUUUUCUCUUCUUCCUUGCGUUUUCUUCCGUUUUCUCUCUAUCUCUCCCUUUCUUUCCCCCUCUCUCUCUUUCUCUUUUUUUUUUUUUUUUUGUUUUUCUUCCAGAAAAUCAAAGCGAGGAAGGGGGAAGGGUCAAAAGAGAAAGCGCAAGAAAGGCCGGUACAAACCACUCAGCUUAUGUGAAAAACCAAGACGGUGAGCAGCGGAAAAGAAGGGGAAACAGCCCUGUUUCUGGAGCCUGAUUUCUCGCCUGGACAGAAUAAAACAAAACAAAACACUAAUCCAAAUGAACCCUAAAAAUGAAGGAUCGGUAGAGCACAGCACUUUCAGUACGGACGAUGGACUCCGGAAGGAACAUUCCCCAAGGCACCCGCCGCACAGAAUUCACCUUUGGGUUUUGAACUGUUUUAUUUUAUUUUUCUUUUUAUGCUGCUAAAUAACAGAGCCAGGAAGACUUAUAGGGGUGUAUUUGAUGGGUUUUCCCAUGCAUACAUAUAUAUGUGUGUAUACAUGCAUAUACAUAUAUAUAUAUGUAUAUAUAUUUUAACCACAUCUAUAUAUACAUAUAUGUAUAUCUUAACCACACACACACACACACAUAUAUAUAUAAUAUAUAUAUAUAUAUAUAUACUGAUUAUUUUUUUUAACAUUGCUAAUGUUAUUGGUGUCUUCACUGGAUAAUACUCGACUGCUGUGGACACAAGCGGGCUACUUGGGGCAUAAGAAACAAGCUAAGACUGGACUUGAGUAGAAGCGCUGGGUGUAAACUUCUUAACUCUAACUGACUUGUGCGGCCUCCGCUGUUUCUCUGUAGAGUGUGCUGUACCACAAACCACCUUCUCCAUGCCUGGGACAGGGAGGAGAGGUGAUGGAGAGGAUGGGCAGGGAGUUCCAAAGAGCGGCAUCCUAGGGUGCGAUGGGUCAAAGGCCAAGAAAAUGGCCAUCUCCGUGAUCAAGGAUUCCUCCUCCCCUCUCUUCCCCCAACCUUCGCCCUUACUCGUCUCAUAACCUGCCUGCCUUGCUGGGACAUGGGAUGUCAGUGUACAUUUUUGCGUUGACUUUAUUCGCUGUAGAGCCUUUGCCAGAGAGACAUGCUGGCUUCUCUUAAGGAUGGUGGGCAGCUGAUGCGCACUGACUUUCUGUUCAAGGAAUUAUCACAGGAGUCUAGAUUUCCGGCCCUUGGUGGCUGCAGAAGGACACAAGGUCUACAGUGUGCUGAAGCAAGAAUGGGGACCGGUGCAUAGCCACACAGUUGUUCAGCACUGUCUGCUUUCUUCAUGCACAGAGCUGCCACUCAAGAGCAUCCAAGAUGCUUACGGAACAUUUCUGGAAAGGGAUAUUAAUCAGAAGUAUAUACACAGUAGUGGGGGUGUGUGUGUAUGUAUGUGAAUGUAUGCAUUUGUGUGUAUGUAUGUAUGUGUUUUUCUCUCUUUUUUAUAUAUAUAUAUUUAUUUUUAUACAUAUAUAUAUAUAAAAAAAUAAUAUAUAUGUAUGCCAAGAUUGAAGGAGGGAAAAAAGAAAGCAACUUUUGCUGCCUUCAUUUUGUAUGCCCAGUGUGAAUGACCCUUAAGAACGUCAAAAUUUCUUUUUUUAAUGAUGUACUGUAAAUAUCAGGCCCCUUUUCCAUGUCUUGGGCUGGGGAAUCAAAUGUGAAGACAGCUGGAGUCCUUAGCUGUGUUGUGAGGUUCUUGGCUAUGUGUGUAUCUGCAGUGUAGGCUGUGGUGUAUGUGAAACCCACCUUACACACGCGCGCACACACACACACCCCUGAAAGUGUGUUUGUACAUCUAUGUGGAUAUAUAUAAUCUAGUUCUGUGAUUAAAAUUAUUAUUAAUAAUAAUAAUAAUCAAAAAGGUACUCGGUCUGUGUCAGAAUGCUGCCAAACAUCAUCUGCAAUUGAAUUUUCAACGCCUGAUAAUGUACAACACGGAAAGCUUCCAAAAAGACAAGACAGUCUAAAAACAGACUCACAACAAGCGACUACUAACCACUAGGAUCUCCCCAUCCGACUGAUGGCUUUCAGAAGGAGAGAAAACACACGGGUGGGUGCUUGCAUCUGCAAUGUAGAAUACUCAUGCUGCAUCGUGUGCAAGACAGAGGCUUCCGAUCGGGGGAGGGAAGAGAAAGUGUUUUAUAUACUUAUUUAAUAUCCCUUUUUAAAUUAGAAAUUAAACAGAUAAUUUAAUUAAAGAGUAGGGAUUUUUCAGUAUUCUUUGUUAAUAUUUAAUUUCAACUAUUUAUAAGCCGUACCUCCUUCUUUUUUUUUUUUUUUUUUUUUUUUUUUUUUUUUUUUUUUUUUUUUUUGUACUGGUUGUGUAUAAAUUUAACCUUCCUGUUGUCCCAUCCCAUCUCUCCCCAAUUGUUGGCAGAGUCAGUAGCAUGUUAUGGGCAGUUAUUUAAUUAAUUUCUCUAACACCUACCCCUACACAUUCCUAUUGAGACAACGGUUAGAUAUACAUCUACAUACUAUAUAUAUAUUUGGCUAUGUGUUUGUAUAUAUAUAUAUAUAUGUUUAUGUAUAUGGGUGAUUCGGAUUAAAUAGACACUACAAUUUUUUUAUAUAUGUAAAAAGAAGAAACAGGAAAAAAUAGAAAAUUCUACAUCUUGAAUCUCUCUCCUUUUUAAUUUUAAUAUUUGUUAUCAUUUUAUUUAUUGGUGCUACUGUUUAUCUGUAAUAAUUGCGGGGAAAAAAGAUAUUAACACUACAUAUUGUGUCUAGUGAAUUUUUUCAAGAUAUUCCUUAGUACAUAUUUAUUUUUAAACAAAGAAAUUACAGAUAUAUCUUAAAACAACGACGACGACGACAAACAAACUUUUUUUUGUAUUAAAGAAUUUAAUUCUGA